UGUGUUUUCGUUGGUGUACCUCUGGGUUUUUUGUGUCUGUUAAUCUAUUAACUACUACAGGGAAGUUUACAUCGUUUUUGAUAGAAGGCCAACCGAAGACCGUGACCCCAGAGGUAAGCUGACAUGUAUCCAAACACCCUGAUCGCAGAGUUAAGCUGUCAUCUACUCAGAUGCCCUAAUUCCAAAGGCUCCUUGAUCCCAGUGGUAAGCUGCCGUCUACCCAAACACCCUGAUCACAGAGGCAAAGCACUGUCCGCCCAAACACCCUGAUCCCAGAUGUAGGCUGCCAUCCACGCAAACACAUUGUUCCCAGAAGUAAUCUGCCAUUCACCCAACCAUGCUGA